CUGGCUCAGAACGAACGCUGGCGGCAGGCUUAACACAUGCAAGUCGAGCGCCCCGCAAGGGGAGCGGCAGACGGGUGAGUAACACGUGGGAACGUACCCUUUACUACGGAAUAACGCAGGGAAACUUGUGCUAAUACCGUAUGUGCCCUUCGGGGGAAAGAUUUAUCGGUAAGGGAUCGGCCCGCGUUGGAUUAGCUAGUUGGUGGGGUAAAGGCCUACCAAGGCGACGAUCCAUAGCUGGUCUGAGAGGAUGAUCAGCCACAUUGGGACUGAGACACGGCCCAAACUCCUACGGGAGGCAGCAGUGGGGAAUAUUGGACAAUGGGCGCAAGCCUGAUCCAGCCAUGCCGCGUGAGUGAUGAAGGCCCUAGGGUUGUAAAGCUCUUUCACCGGAGAAGAUAAUGAC
rnacentral:rRNA from 1 species